AACGAACGCUGGCGGCAGGCUUAACACAUGCAAGUCGAACGCACCGCAAGGUGAGUGGCAGACGGGUGAGUAACACGUGGGGAUCUGCCCAAUGGUACGGAAUAGCUCCGGGAAACUGGAAUUAAUACCGUAUGAGCCCGCAAGGGGAAAGAUUUAUCGCCAUUGGAUGAACCCGCGUCGGGUUAGCUUGUUGGUGUGGUAAAGGCGCACCAAGGCGACGAUCCGUAGCUGGUCUGAGAGGAUGAUCAGCCACACUGGGACUGAGACACGGCCCAGACUCCUACGGGAGGCAGCAGUGGGGAAUAUUGGACAAUGGGCGCAAGCCUGAUCCAGCCAUGCCGCGUGAGUGAUGAAGGCCUUAGGGUUGUAAAGCUCUUUCGCCGACGAAGAUAAUGACGGUAGUCGGAGAAGAAGCCCCGGCUAACUUCGUGCCAGCCGCCGCGGUAACAC
rnacentral:rRNA from 1 species